rnacentral:pre_miRNA from 1 species
GAUGUAGGGGGGUGAUCCCUCAGCCCAGAUUUCGAGAAGGUGCAGGCCAGGCCAAGGGACCCCACCGGUGCAUG